rnacentral:rRNA from 1 species
ACAUUUCCUUAAGUUUAUAUAUUUAAGGUAGGUUCUGCCCUAUGAUUAUUUAAAUGGCUGCAGUAUAUUGACUGUGCAAAGGUAGCAUAAUAAUUAGUUUCUUAAUUAGGGACUUGUAUGAAUGAAUUAAUGAGAAAUUUAUUUUAUUUAUUAUAUUUUUAAAAUUUAAUUUUUAAGUUAAAAAGCUUAAUUAUUUUAUUGGGACGAUAAGACCCUAUAGAACUUUAAAUUUAAUUUUUUUUAUUUAAAUUUUGGUUUUUUAUUAUUUAUUAUUUAUUAUUUUUUUUACUGGGGUGGUAAAUAAAUUAAACUUUAUUUUUUCUAUUCAUUUAUUUUAUGAUAAUUUUGAUCCAUAAAUAUUGAUUAAAAGAUUAAGUUACCUUAGGGAUAACAGCGUAAUUUUGAUGGUAAGUUCUUAUUUAUAUUAAAGUUUGCGACCUCGAUGUUGAAUUAAGAUAAAAUUAAGGGGUAGGUUUUUUAAAUAUUAAGUCUGUUCGACUUUUAAAUUCUUACGUGAUCUG